rnacentral:rRNA from 1 species
UACGAAGGGGGCUAGCGUUGUUCGGAAUUACUGGGCGUAAAGGGCGCGUAGGCUGUGCUGUAAGUCAGGCGUGAAAGCCCCGGGCUCAACCUGGGAAUUGCGCUUGAUACUGCGGCGCUGGAAGGUGGGAGAGGAUGGCGGAAUUCCCAGUGUAGAGGUGAAAUUCGUAGAUAUUGGGAAGAACACCGGUGGCGAAGGCGACCAUCUGGCCCAUUUUUGACGCUGAGGCGCGAAAGCGUGGGGAGCAAACAGG